UAUCUAUUGCUUUCCGUAAUCUCUCAGUAAAUAAAAGAAAGGGUUCAUUAUCUCCUUGAAUUAUCUUAGAAUAGGGAAUAUGAGGUGUAGUUGGUGAUCUAAGACUGGUGAAAGCUUUUAAGGCUGCUGACGUAGUUGAUUUUAAAGCCUCUGAAGGGAUGUACCAAGCUUGGUAAUUCCCGUCUGCCCAGUCCCCAGUGCCACUAAGGUGUUCUGUAGUAAUCAUCCCCCCCUCCGUGUCCACGGCGGUGCCUGCAUUUUGCCAUAAUUGGGGCAAAACCUUGCUUAUCUCUCGUUUCCAAUUAGCCUCCCAGAGACGGAACUCCGAGGGGCUCAGCAGGCAGGAAAAAAUCCGCCGCAAAUCUGCGGGGAUGAUUACAACAUCGGUGAGGGUGGCCCUCAGGAUCCCCCGGAAGAACUCACUCUCCCGGGAGUAAUCCUUUUGGGCCUUGCACAGUUCCUUGAUCGUCUGAUUAGAGAAUGGGGUCCACUGGGCCUGGGUCCUCCCCUCCCUCCCCGGGAUGUAUGUGACCGGGGCCGCGGAGAGAGUAGGCAGCGCCCCCGGGUCCCGGGUUCCAGCCCCCCCACCCAGCACCCGACGGACCGUGGGAACCGGAAGAUGGGGCGUGGGAACCAGGGUUCGGGGCGGAAGAGGAGGAGCCAGCGACGGGGGCGGGGACAGAUGACAUCGUCCCCGCCUCAGAGGCGGAGCAAGUGUGAGAUGGCGCAGAGGGCGGAGAGAUGGGCGGAGGCAAGGGCGGAGCAGAAGGAGGGAAGGAAAGGGAGGAGUCAGGCCCCUAUACCACUCUGUUGGUAUCAGCUGUGUUAAAACCACAGAGGUUUUGUGCUGGAGUGAUGCUGCAGAGGUCUUUCCAUCUGUCUGAAUGCCAGAAUUCUCAAACGCUGAACCUUUGGAGCUCUCAGCUUCAUUAAUUAAUUAUGUUGAACUUGCCCAGAGCACGAUCUGUGCCUCAGGAUUUUCCCUGACUGUGUUUGGGAGCUCACAGAUCCCAGUGUUGCUGCACUACACUGCAUCUGAUGGCCACAAGAGUGGAAUCUGGCAGUAUUCCUCUCACGGCCUCUGUAGUCUGAUGUGUGCAUGAGAGAAGAAGCAGAAUGAUUUCUAUGCAUCAGAGGAAAUGGCUGGGAUGGCUGGAAUGAAUGAUGAUUACCAGUAUUUCCAUUGUGAAGGCAAAGGAGCAGAAAAUACUAUGGCAGAAGGAAUCCUUCAAU